rnacentral:rRNA from 1 species
GACGAACGCUGGCGGCGUGCCUAACACAUGCAAGUCGAACGGACGAACUGAAUAGCUUGCUAGGAAGUUUGUUAGUGGCGGACGGGUGAGUAACGCGUGGGUAACCUGCCCAAAUGUUCGGGACAACACUAGGAAACUGGUGCUAAUACCGGAUACGCUGCCUGGAGGGCCUCCUCCGGGCAGGAAAGGAGCAAUCCGCAAAUGGAUGGACCCGCGUCCCAUUAGCUAGUUGGUGAGGUAACGGCCCACCAAGGCAACGAUGGGUAGCCGGCCUGAGAGGGUGACCGGCCACACUGGGACUGAGACACGGCCCAGACUCCUACGGGAGGCAGCAGUGGGGAAUAUUGCGCAAUGGGCGAAAGCCUGACGCAGCAACGCCGCGUGAGUGACGAAGGCCUUCGGGUCGUAAAGACUCUGUCAUGAGGGACGAAGAAAGUAGACGGUACCUCAGGAGGAAGCCCCGGCUAACUACGUGCCAGCAGCCGCGGUAAAACGUAGACGUG